GAACACCGGUUCUUGUCCGAUCACCGAAGUUAAGCAACGUUGAGCCUGCUCAGUACCUAGAUGGGUGACGGCUCGAGAAUACCAGGUUCUGUAAG